rnacentral:rRNA from 1 species
AGCGUAGGUGGCAAGGCAAGCCAGAAGUGAAAACCCGGGGCUCAACCGCAGGAUUGCUUUUGGAACUGUCAUGCUAGAGUGCAGGAGGGGUGAGCGGAAUUCCUAGUGUAGCGGUGAAAUGCGUAGAUAUUAGGAGGAACACCGGAGGCGAAGGCGGCUCACUGGACUGUAACUGACACUGAGGCUCGAAAGCGUGGGAGCAAACA